UCAAAUCACGGUUGACUGAGUAUAUUGUUGAGCAAAGCGAGAUGAUUCAUUGCUGUUAUAAGAGAGAAGAUUCAGCAGAGUGUUACUAGGUCGGGAUUUGUGAAUUUAGGGCAAAAAUGGCGAGAGAAAAAUCUAGCAAGGACAAUGCACAAGCUCUCUUCCAUUCUCUUCGUUCUGCGUAUGCUGCCACUCCUCUCAAUCUCAAGAUCAUCCAUCUUCGGAACUUCCUUGAUCUUUAGUCACCCAAUUUCAUCGAUUUGUUCUUACGGCUACGGGGAUUAUAGUUCUUUCGUUUCACAUUAUAUUUCACCCGUCGUAGCAAUCUUCCUUUAAAUGCACUUUAAAAGUAGAUCAUUAGAAUAGGAAAUUAGAAAUCGCAAAGGUGUAUUGAAUGAAUUUGAUAAAUAUCAUGCCGAACAUUUUGAAAUUCGACGAAAACCAGCUUACAGUAGAGCGAUUACUGUUUACUUAUUGGAUUAAGGUCGUGCAUCUUUUGAACUUUUUGUUUGUUUGUGUAGUAUCAGGAUAAUAUUUAAUUUAGUUGAUUAUAUGUUCUUAAAUCCUGACUUCCAUUGAGGAUCCACAGGUGGUUUACAUGGCUAGUGUGGGAUCAUUUCCUUUCAAUUCCUUUCUUUCUGGGGUGCUUUCUUGUGUUGGGACAGCUGUCCUUGCUGUUUGUCUUCGUAUUCAAGUGAACAAGGAAAACAAGGAAUUCAAGGUAAGCUUUUUCAAAUUCUCCGCGUUACAUUCCAGUAGUUUGUGAGGCCGGGGAAGAAAAGCAAAAUCAGAUGAUCUGAUUAUCCUUAUAACUUCAAAUUGAGGUGUUCAAUUCCUUUGAAGUUGUUUUCCCCCUUUAUCGCCCAAGGGUUUAGUUGGGGGAACUGGGCGUUGUAUAUAGGUGUGAACAUCCGACUGCAUGCUAAAUCCUCAACUUUAUAAUGCUCAUAUUAGUUGCUGGAUCUAGCACCCAAGCGAGCUUUUGCAGAUUUUGUUCUUUGCAAUUUGGUGCUCCAUUUGGUGAUCAUGAAUUUCCUUGGAUAAAAUCGUAUCACCGGGUUCAUCGGACUGCUGUUUUCUCUGCUUCUGGCAAUGAUUCAUAUUUAUAACAUGAAUUGAAAUUCUUAGGUCAUCCAGACUGUAGCUUGUGGGUGCAGCACACGCCUAAUCCGGCGGAUUGUAGUAGGAUUGUUUAUUUUUAUCAUUGGCUAAAGAAUUUCAAGAUCAGUUGAUGGGAAACGAUAGACAUUUGGGUAUCGAUUUGCUCAUUCUGAU